UGGGGAAUAUUGCGCAAUGGGGGAAACCCUGACGCAGCAACGCCGCGUGAUCGAAGAAGGUCUUCGGAUUGUAAAGAUCUUUUAUCAGGGACGAAGAAAGUGACGGUACCUGAUGAAUAAGCUCCGGCUAACUACGUGCCAGCAGCCGCGGUAAUACGUAGGGGGCGAGCGUUGUCCGGAAUUACUGGGCGUAAAGGGUGCGUAGGCGGUUUGGUAAGUUGGAUGUGAAAUACCCGGGCUUAACUUGGGGGCUGCAUCCAAUACUGUCGGACUUGAGUGCAGGAGAGGAAAGCGGAAUUCCUAGUGUAGCGGUGAAAUGCGUAGAUAUUAGGAGGAACACCGGUGGCGAAGGCGGCUUUCUGGACUGUAACUGACGCUGAGGCACGAAAGCGUGGGGAGCAAACAGGAUUAGAUACCCUGGUAGU
rnacentral:rRNA from 1 species